GUUAAAAUACCGUUUCUCGUAAGAUCACCGAAGAUAAGCAACGUCGAUCCUGGUCAGUACUUUGAUGGGUGACCGCUGAGGAAUACAAAAUGCUGUAUG